AAAGGGGCCAGAUAAGUGGCGAUCUUUGCAUUGAAGGUUGGCGACAACAAAAAUGCAGUUCUCCGUGCCGCUCAGAUUUUCAUCUGUUCUGUGAUGGCCUCGAACAAGCUGCUACAUCAUCUCUUACCUGUGAUAACCUACUCCCUAUGUGCUUGAAUAAAUCAAUCCAUAGAGCUGUCAUAAGUCAAUAUUUUUUUGUUUGAUUGAUCUCCCCUGUUUUGUGUUAAUGUUUGAGUUAAAUGGUAACUACAAAACUGACAUGAGCGAUUUAAGCAGAUGCAUCCUCCCUUGUUAAUGUGGUCCAAACCAACACUUGCAAGAACUCCCUUGUUUAAGCCAAUGGUAGUUGAAAUGGGCCAUUGAGGGAGGCCAGCAUUGGUACACCUGCAAGAAUGGGGAUCCAACAGACAUAGCUGCAAUGGCGGUCACUGUUUUCAAGUCAUCUGAUUAAUCACGAUUAGUCGCGAUUAAUCGUCCAAGUCGGUUUGAAUCAAUCAUGAUUAAUCGCCCAAAUUGUCCAACUAAAUGUGAUUAAUCACGAUUAAUCGUCCAAGUCGGUCAGUUAGAACGACCAGCAAGUUGUCCGACUUGAAAACAAUGAUGGAG
rnacentral:lncRNA from 1 species